UGGUAAUCAGAAGAAUUGCUUUCGAAGCUUACAAAUGGAAAUUCUCACAAAAGAAUGUGAUGAAUAAUAAAACCUUACAAACAUCAAAGAAGAUGAAUAAUGCUUUGGGAAAAGUCCCCGGAUCCUAGGAUAGAAAGUAUCACCCGUAAUGGUAAUGUCUCUGUUUGCUGGUACCUUGGCAAAGAAGAAGUUGUCCAGUGCCUUUUAGGCACCACCCAAUCUCCGAGUCUUUAGUGCUGCAUUCAAAGUCAAUGAUCGAAGUUAAAGGCUAAUGCAAUUAGGAAUUUCUUUUCUAGCAGUAUUACUCAUUGUAUUACUAUUAGAAUUAAUUUCCGUACAUAAUGGGGCUUACUCUCAUGAUUACC